GAAGAGAUGUGAAAAAUGGCGGAGGUUGAGCAGGUUCUUGUUGACGGUAGGGAAUUAAGCACACUCCGUGUAACUGAUUUAAAAGCUGAACUUGAGAAAAGAGGGUUAUCUAAGAGUGGCAGCAAAAAGGAAUUAGCAGCACGUCUAAAACGACAAUUGACACUAGAAAGUCUUCAGAGUUCUGCUGUUGAAAGUGAUGAGGAUCAUGUUCCAAAUUUAGGACUUUAAAAAGAUCAAGCAAUUCGGAUAAAGACAUGUUUUCUGAUCAAGCAAUAUUUAGGCCACGAGCAGCAGAAGAGCGCUUCGAAAAUUCAGAACAGGAACAAAAACGGAAAAUGGAGGAAG